rnacentral:rRNA from 1 species
GUGAGUAACGCGUGGGAACAUACCCUUUUCUACGGAAUAGCUCUGGGAAACUGGAAUUAAUACCGUAUACGCCCUACGGGGGAAAGAUUUAUCGGGGAAGGAUUGGCCCGCGUUGGAUUAGCUAGUUGGUGGGGUAAAGGCCUACCAAGGCGACGAUCCAUAGCUGGUCUGAGAGGAUGAUCAGCCACAUUGGGACUGAGACACGGCCCAAACUCCUACGGGAGGCAGCAGUGGGGAAUAUUGGACAAUGGGCGCAAGCCUGAUCCAGCCAUGCCGCGUGAGUGAUGAAGGCCUUAGGGUUGUAAAGCUCUUUCACCGAUGAAGAUAAUGACGGUAGUCGGAGAAGAAGCCCCGGCUAACUUCGUGCCAGCAGCCGCGGUAAUACGAAGGGGGCUAGCGUUGUUCGGAAUUACUGGGCGUAAAGCGCACGUAGGCGGAUAUUUAAGUCAGGGGUGAAAUCCCAGAGCUCAACUCUGGAACUGCCUUUGAUACUGGGUAUCUUGAGUAUGGAAGAGGUAAGUGGAAUUGCGAGUGUAGAGGUGAAAUUCGUAGAUAUUCGCAGGAACACCAGUGGCGAAGGCGGCUUACUGGUCCAUUACUGACGCUGAGGUGCGAAAGC